rnacentral:rRNA from 1 species
GGCUCAGGACGAACGCUGGCGGCGUGCUUAACACAUGCAAGUCGAGCGAAGCGCUUAAGUUUGAUUCUUCGGAUGAAGACUUUUGUGACUGAGCGGCGGACGGGUGAGUAACGCGUGGGUAACCUGCCUCAUACAGGGGGAUAACAGUUAGAAAUGGCUGCUAAUACCGCAUAAGACCACAGUACUGCAUGGUACAGUGGUAAAAACUCCGGUGGUAUGAGAUGGACCCGCGUCUGAUUAGGUAGUUGGUGAGGUAACGGCCCACCAAGCCGACGAUCAGUAGCCGACCUGAGAGGGUGACCGGCCACAUUGGGACUGAGACACGGCCCAGACUCCUACGGGAGGCAGAGUA